rnacentral:lncRNA from 1 species
AACAGCUCAGAAAAAUACCAUGAAUAAUUACGAAAAAACACAAAUAUAUUCAAGACAUUACAUAUAAUUCUAUAGAUCACAGAAAAUCAAGGAAUUUGCAAAUGUAUAAAUAAUCACUGAUUUACACUAUCAUCUUCGGACACUCAUGAGAAUAGUCAGAACUAAAGAUGUCACAUAACAUAGAGAGGCAACAUUUCUUAGGUACUCUAAUACAGAACGAGAAAUCAAGUGUCACUCCACUCGUGCUGAGUGGCGAUCCAAAUGGGACUACGACCUUUCGUGAGCUAGAGGUGUAAGAAUGUAGCUGACUCCAACAAAAAUUGUGUUGUAGCCUCGUCUCAGAAGUGUAGCCCCCCUGAUUUAUACAAAUGAAGGAUCAUAAGCUGGGAAAGAGAAGCAUAUGAUAAAUUAUUAACAGAUUCUAAUAUGACAUGAUAAUACAAAUCACAUUGGCAUUUCAGUUCCGAUCUUUUAUGUGCAAAAGUCAAAAUCACCGAAAAAGACCCCAAUGGCAAGUCCAGAUUGGUUAUCUGGAACCAAUACUGACUAAGACAUACUCAUACAGAUCUUAACACUAAUACAGCAGAACCAAAAAUGACUUUUGCGAUCGCUGGUGACACUCUUAAGCCGAUAAUUCAAUUACAACGAUUUUAUCAUUAAGAAAUGGGGAUUAGCCUACUAAAGUACUGAGAUUAUAGAUUAUACGUAUAAAUUAGGAAACAUGAAAUACAAAAAUAAUUAGCAAAAUUACGAAAUAAUUCACCCCACCUCAACAGUUACACGAGUCGAGUCCCACAAAACCUAAUUAUGUCUAGGAUAAAUUUAUCGUGCCCCCAGUUUUUCUUCUUUGGGGGGCCCAGUACAUCCAUAUACUACCCUUUCUUCUUGGUGCCCCCAGUACAUCCAUAUACAACUUCUGCAAUCAUAUAAUUAAAAAAAUACUACUAUGGCGGAAUGAUUACAAAAAUAAUUCUGAAGUAUUGUUGCCACAACUUGGAACAUAUAGUAAUUGCAACCGACAGAAAGCACAACUUGCCUCCAGAUAAAUCAAAUCACAUACCUUGAAAAUGUAAGUUGAAAAUAUGAAUGAUAAAUGCUAAUCUGCAGAUGUAUAUAGUGACCCUCAUCUAAACACAUAGACCAAAUGGUAAUCCAUGUAUUAUUGGAGCGAGACCAACUAGCUCCUUAUGUUUGCAGAAGUUGAUCAAAGGAUAACAUAAUUAAGAAACAUCAACUAGAUUUAAUUUUCUAUGGAGGCACUGCUAGGGUAACAUCAAAUGAUCAAUUCAGAAUAACUCAUGUUAUUGUAAAGGAAAGAAUAGGCAGAGUUCAGAAACAAAGGUUCAUGGAUCUACAAACAGUCAGAUGGAUAAAACUCAGGUUCAGAUAAAACUCCAGUCAAUAAUGGUGCAAAAUAAACAAAGAUAAGAUGGAUGUAGUGCAAAACAAGAAAAUAUAAGAUGAACUGUCUACACACGUGAUGUUCUCUCCAUCGCAGAAAUUUCCUCCUUCAACCAAUAAAGUCUAAGACAUGGGUCAGUGCUGUUGAUGAAUAUUUCUCGAUUUAUUUGGUUGUGUCCUUUGUCAUGUGUGAAAGAAACUUGAUAUCAAUAGAUCAUGAUAUCCAUAGAUACAAGAAGAGUAUUGAGCUAUGCAAAGUGUAUGAUGCAUAAUGGCAUGUAACUGCACAGGUUGUCUAAGAAGUAUAACAACAACAACAACAACAACAACAAAGCCUUUAGUCCCAAACAAGUUGAGGUAGGCUAGAGGUGAAACCCAUAAGAUCUCGCAACCAACUCAUGGCUCUGGAACAUGGAUAGCAAGCUUCCACGCACCCCUGUCCAUAGCUAGCUCUUUGGUGAUACUCCAAUCCUUCAGGUCUCUCUUAACGGACUCCUCUCAUGUCAAAUUCGGUCUACCCCGCCCUCUCUUGACAUUCUCCGGACGCUUUAGCCGUCCACUAUGCACCGGAGCUUCUGGAGGCCUGCGCUGAAUAUGCCUAAACCAUCUCAGACGAUGUUGGACAAGCUUCUCUUCAAUUGGUGCUACCCCAACUCUAUCUCGUAUAUCAUCAUUUCGGACUCGAUCCUUCCUCGUGUGGCCACACAUCCAUCUCAACAUACGCAUCUCCGCCACACCUAACUGUUGAACAUGUCGCCUUUUAGUCGACCAACACUCAGCGCCAUACAACAUUGCGGGUCGAACCGCCGUCCUGUAGAACUUGCCUUUUAGCUUUUAUGGCACUCUUGUCACAGAAAAUGCCAGAAGCUUGGCGCCACUUCAUCCAUCCGGCUUUGAUUCGAUGGUUCACAUCUUCAUCAAUACCCCCAUCCUCCUGCAGCAUUGACCCCAAAUACCGAAAGGUGUCCUUCUGAGGUACCACCUGGCCAUCAAGACUAACCUCCUCCUCACACCUAGUAGUACUGAAACCACACAUCAUGUACUCGGUUUUAGUUCUACUAAGCCUAAACCCUUUAGAUUCCAAAGUUUGUCUCCAUAACUCUAACUUUCUAUUUACCCCCAUCCGACUAUCGUCAACUAGCACCACAUCAUCCGCAAAGAGCAUACACCAUGGGAUAUCUCCUUGUAUAUCCCUUGUGACCUCAUCCAUCACCAAUGCAAAAAGAUAAGGGCUCAAAGCUGACCCUUGAUGCAGUCCUAUCUUAAUCGGGAAGUCAUCAGUGUCGACAUCACUUGUUCGAACACUUGUCACAACAUCAUCGUACAUGUCCUUGAUGAGGGUAAUGUACUUUGCUGGGACUUUGUGUUUCUCCAAGGCCCACCACAUGACAUUCCGCGGUAUCUUAUCAUAGGCCUUCUCCAAGUCAAUGAACACCAUAUGCAAGUCCUUCUUUUUCUCCCUAUAUCUCUCCAUAAGUUGUCGUACCAAGAAAAUGGCUUCCAUGGUCGACCUCCCAGGCAUGAAACCAAACUGAUUUUUGAUCACGCUUGUCAUUCUUCUUAAGCGGCGCUCAAUGACUCUCUCCCAUAGCUUCAUUGUAUGGCUCAUCAGCUUAAUUCCAUGGUAAUUAGUACAACUCUGAACAUCCCCCUUGUUUUUGAAGAUUGGUACUAAUAUACUCCGUCUCCAUUCUUCUGGCAUCUUGUUUGCCCGAAAAAUGAGGUUGAAAAGCUUGGUUAGCCAUACUAUCGCUAUGUCCCCGAGACCUUUCCAUACCUCAAUGGGGAUACAAUCAGGGCCCAUCGCCUUGCCUCCUUUCAUCCUUUUUAAAGCCUCCUUGACCUCAGACUCCUGGAUUCGCCGCACAAAACGCAUGCUGGUCUCAUCAAAGGACUCAUCCAGUUCAAUGGUAGAACUCUCAUUCUUCCCAUUGAACAGCUUGUCAAAGUACUCCCGCCAUCUAUACUUAAUCUCCUCGUCCUUCACCAAGAGUUGGCCUGCUCCGUCCUUGAUGCAUUUGACUUGGCCAAUAUCCCUCGUCUUCCUCUCUCGGAUCUUGGCCAUCUUAUAGAUGUUCCUUUCACCUUCCUUCGUGCCUAACCAUUGGUAGAGGUCCUCAUAUGCCCGACCCCUUGCUUCACCAACAGCUCGCUUUGCGGCCUUCUUUGCCAUCUUGUACUUCUCUAUGUUGUCUGCACUCCUAUCCAGGUAUAGACGUUUGAAGCAAUCUUUCUUCUCUUUAAUCGCCUUCUGUACAUCAUCAUUCCACCACCAGGUAUCCUUAUCUUCGCUUCUCCUUCCCCUAGACACUCCAAGCUCCUCCGAGGCCACCUUACGAAUGCAAGUCGCCAUCUUCGUCCACACAUUGUUCGCAUCUCCUCCUUCCUCCCCAGGGCCCUCCUUAAUGACCCUCUCCUUGAACGCUAGAGCUACCUCCCCCUUGAGCUUCCACCACUUCGUUCUAGCAACUUUGGCACGCUUAUCCCGCUGGACACGAAUCCGAAAGCGGAAGUCAGCAACCACCAGCUUAUGCUGGGGUACAACACUCUCUCCAGGUAUCACCUUACAGUCUAGGCACGCACGCCUAUCUUCUCUUCUCGAGAGGAUGAAAUCAAUCUGGCUAGAGUGUUGGCCACUACUAAAAGUCACCAGAUGUGAUUCUCUCUUUCUAAAGAGGGUGUUAGCUACAAUCAUGUUGUAGGCUAGAGCAAAGCUUAAGACAUCUUCUCCUUCUUGAUUCCUGAUGCCAUAGCCAAAGCCCCCGUGCGCCCCUUCAAAACCUGUGUUAGAUGUACCCACGUGGCCAUUGAGGUCUCCUCCUAUGAAGAGCUUCUCACCAAUCGGUACACUCCUAACCAUGUCUUCCAAGCCUUCCCAGAACUCCCUCUUGGUGUUCUCAUUGUGGCCUACUUGCGGGGCAUACGCGCUGAUAACAUUGAGAACCAAGUCCUCAACUACCAGUUUGACCAGGAUAAUCCGGUCCCCACGUCUCUUGACGUCUACCACUCCAUACUUGAGGCUCUUGUUGAUCAAGAUGCCUACGCCAUGGUAAAUUUAAUUGCAGAGGAUACGAAAACUAAAAAUAGAAAAUUUAUAACUACGAAAAAAGCAUAAAAAUAAACAAUUGUAGUAUGUACUGCCAUAAGGAUCUAACAGAGAAAAACGUUCAGUAUUUGCCUGUCUACACAAAAGCAAUUAACUUGCCUAAACCAAAGUUCACAAGACUCACCAGUAAUUAAAUGCAGCAAAUCCAUUGCAUUUGCCACAUUCUUCUGAAUUGCACCUAAUUAUAAUGUAUGCAGCCAAUAAUCUAACUUCAGUAGACAAACUGCCACACAUUAGGCAAUGCUCUGCUCUGUAGUAACAAGAGUCCAAACAAGAAAAAUGUUCCUUGAAAGAUCCAAAAUAUAGCAUCAGACCUCACAAUCAAUCACAAGAGCCAAUUGACAAAUCAAAACACUGUGCAGAUCUAGGGGAGAGAAGCGGAAGGAAGAGAUUGUGCUCACCGUUAAUUUGACAAUGGUGGGAGAGUUCCAAGAUUCUGAUUAGCUGUAAAAUGCGGAAGAGACGCUCAGGUCCGUGGAUCUGGAGCAACAUCAUCAGUGCUAACCGAGGCAUCAAAUAGGUGGUAGUGGUGGACGAGGAAGAGGAGCGGGCUAACCUGGCUCGGAGGACGAGGAAGGUGACCGCUAGCUCAUUGUUGUUCGUCUGAGGAGAUAUGAGCUGCGAGGGGUAGUCGAUCUUGCCGGAAGUAAAAACCGACCUCUAGGCCGUCGCCAUCACCUGGCAGAGGAUCUUGGCAGG